UAUUAAAAGGCAAUACGUUCUAGCAUGCCGCUCUUGCAAACACUUGUUUUCUGGAAUCAUCAGCGUAUCCUUGAACUAGUUGCACUGUAGACCUGGAGGUAGAUGUGAAAACAGGUCAAUGCUGACACUUUCUCUAAACUUUGUUUUAUCCGUUAUCGUAAACGUAUCUCAAAAACUUGAAUAGAAAAAUAAACAAAAAGAACAAUUUAUAUUCCAUUAUGCAAAUAAAAGAAUAAAUAUUAACGUAUUUCAAAAUGAAGCAGACAAACAUAUAUAAAUUCAAUCAUGUUGUAACAAACAAGUUUAUUUAAAUUUGAUUUCCAAACAUAAUAAGACUCCUUUGUUUUAAAAACAUGUAAAAACAAAAAAAAGUUACUAUAUGCUGAUAACAUUUCAAAUUGUCGCGUAUUUUAGCAUUUGACCUUGUUAACUGAUUAUAAAAAAAGCAAAGCGUAAUUAAAAAUGGAUUACAGAAGUGGAAAUAUGCUGAUAAUUUGCUUAAUUUUCACGGGAAAUAGCCGAAACAAGAUACUCAACGAGCAAUCUACCAACGGCAAAUCCUCCUCGACUAAUAUAGUUAAUCCUGCGCUCGAACGGAUAAAGAACGGAGACGUAAUUGCGUAACGUCUUAACCAUUCACGCACACGCACACACAGCAAGAGUCUUAGAUUAGGACCACACUAUUCAAUUACUCACCAUUGGCGGAGAUCAUCCUCGAGCGUGCAAGAUCGGCCUUGUUUCCCACGACGAUCACACUCUUGUCCUGCGUGUAUCCUUCACGCCACAAAUAAUUCAGUGUGUCUUCCGCAUGGUGAAAGCUCGGUCGAGCCACUAUCGAAUACACAACGACGCACGCAUGUGGUUCGUAGGUGCUGAGCGAAUUUUCUACC